CAAUGGACAGCACCUGAUGAACGCCUCUGUUCUUCCCUCCUCUCCUUCAGGAUACAGAGUCCUUUGUGCACUCAGUCUGUGACUUGGCCAGCUUCGGAGGACCCUGACUCUGGCCAGUGCUGUGGCCCUGACCCCUGCCCUACCACCCUGGUACAUCCUGUCCCUACCACAGGUGGAUCAGGAGGUCCAGUUCUCAGUCCACGUCAUUGGUGGGCUCUUCCAGCCCAGCAGCUCCUCUGUUUGGGGACCACGGGAAGCCCUUGGCAGCAACGAAAGGCAGGAGUGAGGAUGAAGGGGGCGUGUUAUGCCCUCUUGCCUCUGGCUCUCCAGAUACUCAGGUGGAACCGACACCCAGGCAGGACAAAAACAGAACACUAGGACCGUUGACUCUCAAGGACAACACCAGGAGGUAGGUGUCUUUUUCUCCAUUUUACAGAUGAGGAAACAGAGGCUCAUAGAGGGGAAGGAGGCCAACUGAGGUCACACAGCCCUCAGUUGUGCUUUCACCCAGAUCACUUGGUGGGACUACUCUACCCCCCUGGGGACAACUCUGUCCUGGCAACCCCAACCUCACACAGAGCCUAGAGGGCCACUCAGGGGUGCGGCCCAUCUCAAUGUGAACAGGACUAUUUUUAGUGUCCGCAGCAGGGGC
rnacentral:lncRNA from 12 species